AAUAACAAUAUAGGGCUCUUUUGGGUCUUAUAAUUGGAAUGAGUACAAUUUAAAUCCCUUAACGAGGAUCAAUUGGAGGGCAAGUCUGGUGCCAGCAGCCGCGGUAAUUCCAGCUCCAAUAGCGUAUAUUAAAGUUGUUGCCGUUAAAAAGCUCGUAGUCGAACUUCGGCCUUUGCCGCCCGGUCCGCCUAUUUGGGUGUGUACUGGAGCGGNGGAGGCUUACCUCGUGGUGAGCAAUCAUACCCUUCACUGGGCGUGGUUGGGAACCAUGAUUUUUACUUUGAAAAAAUUAGAGUGUUCAAAGCAGGCUUACGCCCGAAUACAUUAGCAUGGAAUAAUAAAAUAGGACGUGCGGUUCUAUUUUGUUGGUUUCUAGGAUCGCCGUAAUGAUUAAUAGGGAUAGUUGGGGGCAUUCGUAUUCAAUUGCUAGAGGUGAAAUUCUUGGAUUUAUUGAAGACGAACUACUGCGAAAGCAUUUGCCAAGGAUGUUUUCAUUGAUCAAGAACGAAGGUUAGGGGAUCGAAAACGAUCAGAUACCGUUGUAGUCUUAACAGUAAACGAUGCCGACUAGGGAUCGGACGAGGAUUUUUAAUGACUCGUUCGGCACCUGAAGAGAAAUCUUUAAGUCUAGGUUCGGGGGGGAGUAUGGUCGCAAGGCUGAAACUUAAAGGAAUUGACGGAAGGGCACCACCAGGUGUGGAGCCUGCGGCUUAAUUUGACUCAACACGGGGAAACUCACCAGGUCCAGACACGACAAGGAUUGACAGAUUGAUAGCUCUUUCUUGAUUUCGUGGUUGGUGGUGCAUGGCCGUUCUUAGUUGGUGGAGUGAUUUGUCUGGUUAAUUCCGAUAACGAACGAGACCUUAACCUGCUAAAUAGCCCGGCCGGCUUUGGCUGGUCGCUGGCUUCUUAGA
rnacentral:rRNA from 1 species